AGGAGAAGAGUUGAGAGGUGCAUCAAGAAGAGAUGCUGCAGAGUGUGAAAUUGAAAUCAACAACUUCAUGACAGAAGGGUGUUAUGUCCAUCAACGAAAAAUGCAACAUGAGGUGAAGGAUGUAUGAAGAAUGGAUUCCACAUUUCAGUUGUGUUUGCCAUUUUAAAACUUGUUGUAAGUUAUUAUUUUUCUAGAUGAAGCCUUAGAUCAAAUUUCAAUCCUGAAAUAAUUUAAGAUUUUCUAAUUAAUUUCUAGAUGAAUGAUUUUUUAAAAAAUUCAAUUUGGUAA